rnacentral:tRNA from 1 species
GCGGACGUAGCUCAGUUGGUAGAGCUCCAGAUUGUGGAUCUGGCUGUCGCGGGUUCGAGUCCCGUCGUUCGCC